AUGACCGCCACUAUGAGCCGCCGCCACACCAAGAUCGAGCAGCCCUCCGCCGAUUCGCCGGACAAGACCUCGUCAGCCGGCCCAUCUGGUAAUGUACCAGAGGACCGCGCCGCCUCUUCCUCUUCUCCCAGGCGCCACGAGGAGGAGGAGGUGAUCCCCGCCCCGCCGCGGAAGCGCUGGGAAGAUCCGCGCUCUCUGAGGCUCAGGCUGCUGAACCUCAUCCGUACCUUCUACCUGGAGGCGCUCUCCCGCCUGCCCGCCGCCCGACUCUGGAGCACGCCCGCCCGCGGCGUCCUCGUCGCCGGCCACUGCUACGGGCCCCUCUCCCCUGUCGACAAUAUCCUCGUCAACGCCAUCUGGUAUAACACCGCCUUUCCCCGCCGCCCCACCGUCGACUUUCACUUCGGCGAUGUGCUCGAGAUCAGCCCCGAAUGCAUCGCCCGCAUCGCUCACCGCUCCCUGGAGGGUCUCAUCGCCUGCCUCCUUCACCUCUGCCCCUCCCUCUCCCGCGACGACGCGCUCUGGCACCUCCACCUCUCCAAGGCCGACCUCUCCCGAGCCAUCGCCUCUGCCUCCGAUUCCGUCUCGGCGCCCACCCAAGCCGCCUUUCUCAAGGCCGCCGAGGCGGCGCACCACCCCAUGCCACACGCUUUGGCGCUCUUCGUCUCCUCGGUACUUCCCAAGGUUGAGCGUGAUGCGAGAAUGCUUCUCUGCGUCAACCGGGCGCUCACCGCCCCUGAGCUCGACCGCCUCUCUGACAUGCUGGUGCCCUCCCCGCUUCUGGAGGACCUCUAUCCUCCUCCCCCACUGGUGACGUCCUGGGUGGCCGCCGUAAUCAAGUCGCGCAUCGAAGGCUGCAAAUAUUCCCAGGAAACCUCACGCCAGCUGGUUGAGACUGCAUUAUCCAAAUAUGCUCAGCAAACAGGCCAACAUUAG
rnacentral:rRNA from 1 species